AGAGUUUGAUCCUGGCUCAGGACGAACGCUGGCGGCGUGCCUAACACAUGCAAGUCGAACGGAGUAAGCCCUUCGGGACUUACUUAGUGGCGAACGGGUGAGUAACGCGUGAGGAACCUGCCUUUCAGUGGGGGACAACAGUUGGAAACGACUGCUAAUACCGCAUGAAGCAGUUUGGAGGCAUCUCCGAGCUGCCAAAGAUUUAUUGCUGAAAGAUGGCCUCGCGUCUGAUUAGAUAGUUGGUGAGGUAACGGCCCACCAAGUCGACGAUCAGUAGCCGGACUGAGAGGUUGAACGGCCACAUUGGGACUGAGAUACGGCCCAGACUCCUACGGGAGGCAGCAGUGGGGAAUAUUGGGCAAUGGGGGAAACCCUGACCCAGCAACGCCGCGUGAAGGAAGAAGGCCUUCGGGUUGUAAACUUCUUUUACCAGGGACGAAGAACGUGACGGUACCUGGAGAAAAAGCCACGGCUAACUACGUGCCAGCAGCCACGGUAAUACGUAGGUGGCAAGCGUUGUCCGGAUUUACUGGGUGUAAAGGGCGUGUAGGCGGAGCUGCAAGUCAGAUGUGAAAUCCCGGGGCUCAACCCCGGAACUGCAUUUGAAACUGUAGCCCUUGAGUAUCGGAGAGGCAAGCGGAAUUCCUAGUGUAGCGGUGAAAUGCGUAGAUAUUAGGAGGAACACCAGUGGCGAAGGCGGCUUACUGGACUGUAACUGGCGUUGAGGCUCGAAAGCGUGGGGAGCAAACAGGAUUAGAUACCCUGGUAGUCCACGCCGUAAACGAUGAUUACUAGGUGUUGGGGCCCAACAGGGCUUCGGUGCCGCCGCAAACGCAUUAAGUAAUCCACCUGGGGAGUACGUUCGCAAGAAUGAAACUCAAAGGAAUUGACGGGAGCCCGCACAAGCAGUGGAGUAUGUGGUUUAAUUCGACGCAACGCGAAGAACCUUACCGGAGCUUGACAUCCUGCUGACGGUCCGAGUAAUGUUGGACGUUCCUUCGGGACAGCAGAGACAGGUGGUGCAUGGUUGUCGUCAGCUCGUGUCGUGAGAUGUUGGGUUAAGUCCCGCAACGAGCGCAACCCUUACUGUCAGUUGCUACGCAAGAGCACUCUGGCAGGACUGCCGUUGACAAAACGGAGGAAGGUGGGGACGACGUCAAAUCAUCAUGCCCCUUACGCCCCGGGCUACACACGUACUACAAUGGCGCAAACAAAGGGAAGCGAUAGAGCGAUCUGGAGCAAAUCCCAUAAAAGGCGUCCCAGUUCGGAUUGCAGGCUGAAACCCGCCUGUAUGAAGUUGGAAUUGCUAGUAAUCGUAGAUCAGCAUGCUACGGUGAAUACGUUCCCGGGCUUUGCACACACCGCCCGUCA
rnacentral:rRNA from 1 species